AGGCGUGGCUACCUCCCGAGCGUGCCCUGUUUGCCUAGGAGGUCGCCGGGCGGGAUUCCGAAGGCUCCCUCGGGACGUGCCAACUAACGCAAAACCACAUUUGAGACGGGGUCGUAGGCCACGUUUGAAUAAAAGUAUCGAAAUUUUGUUAUAAAGUCCCAGCUCUGAUGGCAGUUCGCUGUGUGAGAGCACAGAGAUAACGGCCGUCCCGGGGCGAAGGUAGGAGAGGCAGGUGCGCCAGGUGGAAGGGGCAUUUCCUAGGCUUGUUCAGGGGGAGACCCCAGAAACCCAAAGCACUCAGGUCCCAGCCCGCCAGAGUACCAGCAAGUGCUCUUUACUGACUGCGUGGACUCUCAGUUCAAUUGGCAGCCUCUGGAAACCUGUGGCCACUUUAACCCUUCGUGAGCAUUUCUGUGAUGUAUGUACAUCACUGUGUGAAGUAUGAUGUGACUUGAGUACUACAGAUAUUAUUAAGAUUGGGAUGGAAUAAAAGAACUUGUGACUGCUCCACUCAUGACACCAAGUGAACUGAAAUACAUGCCGAAACAAUUAAAGUUGAAGGAUCAUAUCUGCAACGUGCUCUCAAAUUGUUUAGUAAUAGGUGCAGAAACAAAUAAAGGAAGAAAAGAACAUGACAGAGCUGCAACUUGGACCUAGGUAUGUUCAUGAACCUCACAUGUGCUACAGGAGGCACUAUAAGGCAAUGGAGAUUGAGCUCACUAAGUUUGGUAUGUUGGCACUGUGAACACUGGCUCACCAUGUGGACCAUGAAGCAAUCACAUAGGAUCCUGUGGAAGUAAAGCAGGAUCCCUAUCUUACAUAUAAAAAUAAAGUUCAAAUGUAGAAAAGACCUGAA